ensembl:lncRNA
AAAAAAAACUUUUUAAUGAUUUUUCUAGUUUUGUUAAUCUGGGUAACUUGAUUCACAGAUAUUUAAAGUUACAUUUGGCUACAUUGUAUUAGAUUGUACAAUGAAACUAAGCAAGACAAACCUGAUCUCGCUCUUCACACUGAUUCUGGUAUUUCACACCAUAGCUGUACAAGCAGAAGCUUCUCAUGAUGAUGAUGAUGAUAAUGAUGAGGCUCUGAGGAUCCUGGUUGUGGGAGUCAGAGGUCAGUCCAGAUUCAGUGCUGCAGAUCUUCUGUCAGGAAGGAAAGACGGAGGACAGGAGGACAGAGAGAUUGUAAAGACUCCAGUAAUUACAGACGGGGCUCGUAGAAUGAUGCUGGUCACUGGACCAAACCUCUGUGAGGAGGACACAGAGAGACAGACCUUCACAACAGCGCUGUUUCUCUCGUCUCCUGGACCUCACGCCGUUCUAAUGGUCCUGAAUCUGGAAGAUCAACAAUCACAACAGUGUGAUAUUGAGAAACGAGCCCAGGAGCUGCUGGGAGCAGAAGUCCUGCAGUACUGCAUUGUUCUUCUGCUCCAAAAUCACCAGGAACCUUUGACAGGAGCCUCCAGAGGGAUUGCUGGAGAAAUGAUCAACGCAUGUGGAGGAAGAUUUCACAUCAUAAGAGACUCUGAACCAAAACCUGCUCAGAGAACAACUCUUAUAACAGAAAUACACAAGUUAGUUUGGCUCAAUGAUCACAGAUUUCACUCAGUAUUGAGACAACAGUUAGAAGCUGAAAGACUGGAGCUAUUACAAAGGCUAAAAGAAAUAGAUGGCAAACUUGGACAAAGUAAGGUCUCAUCUGCAAUGUGUGACACUUUAGAUGUGGUCGAAUGGAGUCUGAUAAUUUCACUGAUUGCAUAUUUUUUGAUCAGACGUGCCGCUGAAUUCUGAAUCAUUUGAAGAGGUCUGAACGCACAUGAUUGAAGUCCAGUCAGAAGAGCAUUGCAGUAGUCUAGCCUGAUAUCAAGACAUUGUGCAGCAUGCUGCGUUUUGUAUUGGAAACACAUGAUAGAUGUGGAAAAGAGAGGGAAGGGAAAAUAAAAGAUACUUAGAGGGUUAGUUCA